rnacentral:lncRNA from 1 species
GCCCACCCAAGGUUUUGUCUUGAUCUCCAGUGUGAGUACAUGCCUCUUUCCGUUUAUUUUUCUUUAAAAUUUGUUUCCUUCCAACAUUUCUCGAACCGCCACCUCGAAAGAGGGAGAAUCGGUCAUCUAUGGUUAGUAGUGUAUUUGCUUCACCAGCUUGUGUUUCAAUCUCUUCUAAAGGAAAAAAAUAGAAGACAAUAUCACACCUAUAUAUUUUAAUAUUUUUCAGUCACUUGUCUUCCUUUUUCUGUUUUUGUUUAAUGUGAACAUAAAUAAUACUAUAGUUGUUGAAGUGGAUUAUGCAUCCAAGGUGUUUGAUGAUAUGUCUAACUCAUUUUAAUUGGAGUAAUGGAAUUCACAAAUCUUAUUUUGAUUAUUUUCAGGUGAAAGCAGAUGUGACAGAGGGAUCAACUGAAAUAACCAACGCCCUAAGUGACGAUUCAGGUGUAUUUAAUCUGUGAUUGAAGGUCUGCAGCCUUCACAGGAUUGCUGGCACCAUGGAAGGUUAGUCAACUUCGGUCCACAAAAUAGUAGUCUUUGUCAGAUCCGUCACAAUUGAUCUUUGUUAGGGUCAGCAAUAUGAGAUGAUUAUAUGAUAAGCUUGCAGAGAGUCUUAGUCUCAAUUUUAUGCAAUGCAAUGUCUAUGCAUGGUAUUUAAGUCUGAAAUUGUCAGUAGUCUUUAGUAGCUUGAAAAUCACAAUGAAGAGAACUUGGUUAAAAAUAUUCAUGUAAGUAACUAUGCAAACUGAUUUAAAGUUCAUCAAUUAGUUCAACAUCUACAACCUAUGCAAGAAAAUUAGGCAGUCGAAUGAAAUGCUUAGCAACAAAUUACAGUAGCUUUCCUACGAAGGCCUUUAUUACUUAUAUGCUAAUACGCUUAGGACUGUUAUUUUAUAAUCAGUUCCACAAACGAGCUAUAAAGAUUUAUGUUACCUUCUCAAAAAGAAAAAGGAGCUAUGAAGAUUUUCCAUGACUUCAUAAUUCAAGUUAGUUCUUGACAUAGUCUAAUGAAGAUGGUAAUAUUGUAGCCUUCCAGUUAUAGAAUAUAUGCUAAAAUUGUGGGACUGCACAAAAAAUUAAGGAUGACCAAACCCCUCUCUCUCUCUCUGUACCUAUUUAAUUUCUCCUAUAUGAACGCUUUCCUACAUACCAUUUGGUUUGGCAUUGCCAAAAAUCAUACACAAUAAAUAAUUAACAUCACAGUUAGUAUGGCAGGAUAGAUUAUCAAAUAUUAUAGUGAAUAUAGCUUGUAAUAUUUAGGUACCUUAACUAAUAUUGUAAGGAGAAGUUUCAAAGGAGAUACUUAGAAUGAAUUUUGCUCUGUAAAACUUUGCACUUGAACUUUUUCGAAUUAAAGUGUAUAGGUGUUUUGUGCAUUUGUAGUUUUUUAAGUUGGUAAGACAUCAAAUGACAAUGGAUUGUACAAUAUAGUAAUAUGAACGCGUGUUUUCUAUUGCCCUUAUACUAAAUAUAAUACAUUUUAAUUCUAAAAACCUAUUCCCUGAUUUCAAACACAUACUUUCUUGAAAAGCUAGAGAUCAUCCUGUUAACAAGAACGUCGCAGCAUUUUUUAUGAUUCGAUGGAGAAAUUGCUCUUGUGAUGAGACUUUUUUUUGUUUCUACACAAGAUUAGAAUGUUAAAUCUCUUGUUUGUUUAAACAAGAAUGAUAGUCUUUCAACUAACAAACUCUCCACAGAAUAGGCAACUUGAGAGACUUCUUCUGUUAUAUUCUUUUACACUUGAAAGCUUUUCUAUUGAUUGUUUAUAGUUAGUGUAUAUUUUGUUCAGUUAGAGGAAUAAUGUUCUACUGGAGCUUUGAAGUUUCAAGCAUUUCUUUGCAUUACUACAGAGGUUAUGAAAUAUUUCUCUAAGCCUUUUUCCUGUCAAAAUUUUUGUUUAGAGGUUGAAACCUUGAUUGUUCUACCUUAUCAAAAGUGAAACCUUGAAUGCUUUAGCUGGUUCUGUAGUAAACUGAUCUGUGCAUGAAUAAAUUUCUUUUUAUAUGUUGUGUGGGCUUGACAUGAAUUGACAGCUGAAUUUGUUCGAGGCACAAGCUAUGGUCUAAAAGUAGCAAUUUGAGCAAAAAACAAAACCCUUAUUAGUGAUCAUUACAUGUAAUCAAUUGCUUAUACCAUAAAACUUCUUAGAGGUGGGAAAGCAUUUUGAAUGUUGUUCAAUAAUUCAAUUUAGCACUAACGAAUUCCAUAUUGGCUUGCUCAAUACUUAUACAUACGUGUCAAGUAUCACUUGAUUUGUCAUAUUACAAUUAUUAGCUAAUGGCACUUGGUUCUGUUACAUGAUAACAGGAGCUACCAAUGAAUGAAAGAAAAAUAAGUUCAUUUUGUCAUAUUAACUGUGUUUCCAUGUUAUGUUUAAGAGAUUACAGAGGAUGCAUCGAUGAUGCCUAACAUAAAGUGAAAACUUACAGUUUUCUCUCUUUGAUGUUUGGGAUAGGGAUCUGUCGUUAAAUUUCUUUUGUGGGAAAACACUAUUCUUUGACUAUAUUUUUUAUUAGCAGAGUUGUUUGAAGGCUAGAAUUAAAUUGUGGCUGACAUGAAAUUCACAUAUGAUGCUAUCGGCCAGCAUUAUCGGAAUCAAAAGCGAAGACGUGUUCUGAGCUUUGUGGUCAAAUAUGUUUGUAGUGUUUCCAAAGAAACAAGGAGAAAAAGAUACAAGAAGAUUGAUUCUUCUGCAUUCGAAGGGACUCAAUGAUUUGGUGAAAUCAAUUUCCUUCUUAACAUGUGCAACAAUCUCUCUCUCCGUGUUGCAUGUAUAUUGAUGAAGUUGAAGAAUUUAAAGUGGA